UUGAACACCUCCAAGGACGGGGCAUCCACAACCUCCCUGGGCAGCCUGUUCCAGGACCUCACUACUCUGAAUCACCCCAAUCUACAUGAGACCGUCAGCUGAGGUUCCCAGAUUUAGCUUGAAAACCACAAGAUGUGUGAGCUCAGUUUUGGUCACUGUUUGUAUUUGCUGAUAGCUGAACUGUUUGCUUAUAUCAAGUUUCCAAACUUUUUUUUUUUUUUCUUUUCCCUCGCAGAGAGGGGUUACAAAGGUUCCAUUUGGGUGGUUUACUGAAGGAAGCUGAAAGUCUUACACAACCCCUGGCUUCAUUAACCGAGGCUUUCAGAUAUUUAUUUAUAACCGAUUAUAAAACCGCCUCCCGCCAACACGAAGCGGGGCUCAGCAGCGCUCGGCCCGCACCGCCGCCAUCGCGUAGGAAAUGCGCAGAUAAACCGCGGUGGCCUGCACCGAUGGGAGGGGGGUAGGGCGGGCAGAGCCGGCUCCGAGGGAGCCCGGAGCUCGGCUUCGAGUCGGGCACAGCCGCUCCGGGUGCCCGGCCGCUGCCUCAGCCCGCGGCACGGAUCUGCCCCGCAGCCGCCGCCGCCUGCCCUCAGCUCGUCCCCCACAGAGCGUGGCGGGCGGGAAUGGCGGAGAGCGCCGACAGGGCCGCACAAGUUGACGGGCCGCGCUCUGCCGGCUGGAGGAGGAAUCUGAGGCAAAAGCCGAACAGGAUCGCGGGCGGGAGCAUGGAUCGACGGCUGCCGGAGCUCGCCGGAGCGGCAGGCGGCCGGGGGCAGCGGGGUUUGGUGACCCUCUUCUCCUUUACCCUGCCCAAUGGGCUCAUCUGCACUGCUGUGCCUUGAGAGAGCUGUGGGACCGUUGCCUGCUGGAGUGCUGGGAGGAAGAGGUGGUGUGCUGGACGAUGGAGCACAAGGAGAAACACCACCUCAGGCAGGCAGGCAGGCAGGCCUGGUCUUCCCUGUGUGUCCCUAAGGCCUUUCUUUUCUUCCUUCUGCCCCUAUGCUCCCCAAACAGCACCUGGUUAGUAACUGCAGGAGUAACUGUUGCAGAACAAACAACUGAAAGGCUGAUUGUUGGUUACCAGUCCUUGCCUUUGUGCUCAUCCAAGGCAAGAGGCAUCAGGUCAGCUGUGCCUUUUUUUCAUUUUCAUCGUUAUCUUCAACGCAGAAAUAAAGCUCUGAAGUGCUGGC